UGGAAAGCGUCGAGAAGACAAGCACAUGUCACGCACGUGAAUUGUUAGUACCUCACAAGUCACAACUCAGCCCAUGUUUCAAUUUUAAGGGGGGGAAAAAAAAAGACUACUCAGUUCUCAACCCUAACUAUUCCUCUCUCCUUCAUGAAUUCUAAAUCCAGAUCUUAACUCUCCCUGCAAUUCCCCAAAUUAUGCUUGGUGAAAUUUCUCUACUCACUUUGAACUGUAAUCGAUUUUGUCACUCUCUAUGCCGCCGCCUAAUUCUAAGGGUGUACUAGGGACUGUGAUUAAGAGGUUUUGAAGAAGUUUUUUCUCUACUUGAUCUCCCUGAUGCUCUUGUCUUGCUGACAUAGCAGCCACGUUGGCAGCCUCAUGGCUGGUGGCUAGGCAACAGGUUGGGUGUUGCAGGUAUAUAUCCUAACAAUAUAUAAAAUAACUCAAGCAUCGUCUUGCUGCUGAUUAUGAACCAGAUCAGAGGAAAAUAAGAGCCAUCGUUUUGUCACAUCUAGAAAUAUUUACGUUCUUUGAUAGGAGCUGCUGUGAGUGCUGACUUUGUUUGGGUCGUUCUCCUUCGUUAGAGAAGCUUUUUAGGUUUGAGCAUUUUGUCACAACCUGAACUUUGUUUUACUCCCCCCUGCAAGCAGCUUAAGAAACCAUAAUUGUGGCUUUCGACUAGACGUGUAACGAGAAUAGCCAAGAAGAAAAAAGAAAUCAAAACUUAAGAAUUUGGCAAAUGAUGUCUUGUCUUCUGUGUGUAUGGAUGCCUUGAUAUUUUUGGAUCAAAAAGAUUAUAUAUUGAGAAACGGUAGAAAAGGGCUGACUACUAACACUGCAGUAUUUCAAGGAUGGAAGAAAGAUAUAUUUUAGCUGACUUACUAACACUGCAGUAUUUCAAGGAUGGAAGAAAGAUAUAUUUUAGCUGUUUAAAGAUUUCAAUCAGUGAUUCGGAAUUUGUUCCACUACAACUAGUCAUGAAUGAAGUAUAAGUUGGAAUUAUAUUUAUUGUAAUAGAAAACUCAUUACUAUGAGAUAUUGUACAUAUGCUAUAAUAUAUUAAUAUGAAAUAAAAAAUAUUCAGCAUAAUUUUGUUGUACGUGUAUCUUUUUUUUUUUUUUUGUUAAUAUUAGUAUGCUAGAAAUAAUUGUCGGUGAAUAAAAUGCUGUAUCUUAUUUUGGUAUUCUAGAUAUUUAUUUACAGAAUAUUGACAAGAAAAAGAGUCCCCAAAUUAGAAAAUAUGGACAUGAAAAAGCGUCGCCAAAAUGUUAGACAUCAAAUGUUUGAAAAUCUAGACAU